CGGCAGCGGACCUUCGGGUGCCGGCGAGUGGCGAACGGGUGAGUAAAGCAUCGGAACGUACCCUAGAGUGGGGGAUAACUAUCCGAAAGGAUAGCUAAUACCGCAUAUUCUAUGAGUAGGAAAGCGGGGGAUCUUCGGACCUCGCGCUCUAGGAGCGGCCGAUGUCAGAUUAGCUAGUUGGUGGGGUAAAGGCCUACCAAGGCGACGAUCUGUAGCGGGUCUGAGAGGAUGAUCCGCCACACUGGGACUGAGACACGGCCCAGACUCCUACGGGAGGCAGCAGUGGGGAAUUUUGGACAAUGGGGGCAACCCUGAUCCAGCCAUGCCGCGUGAGUGAAGAAGGCCUUCGGGUUGUAAAGCUCUUUCGGCCGGGAAGAAAUCGCACGGGCUAAUACCUUGUGUGGAUGACGGUACCGGAAUAAGAAGCACCGGCUAACUACGUGCCAGCAGCCGCGGUAAUACGUAGGGUGCGAGCGUUAAUCGGAAUUACUGGGCGUAAAGCGUGCGCAGGCGG
rnacentral:rRNA from 1 species